ACUGUUCCUAGAGGCAUUGCAGAUGUGGCUGCUGUGUUACAUGUACAUCAGUAGGUGACAGAGAGAAGAGACACUAUGUGUACCACUAGUGUUCUGACACUUGGACAUCUGAAUGAUGAGUAGCCUAACAUU